rnacentral:lncRNA from 1 species
UUAGUCUCAGGGCGGACAGACUUUGUCUUUAGAGGCAAAGGGAAUCUGGUUAUGAUAGGGAGACCUAGCUGAUCUCACAAUUGGGGUUUAUCUAGAGAGCAAUGCAAGGCUUCGUUGGCAGCUUUUCUUUUCUUUGACUUCACCUGAAUUUCUGUGUUUCCAUUCAUGAAGUGGUUAAGAGCCAUCGUGCUUCCCCUCAUGGAGAUGUAGAGGAUGUGGUGGGCAAGUUGAUAUAGAUGCCAUUGGAAGAAGUCAGAUCUGCCCUCCACAUGUAUUGUCACCAUAUGGGAGUCUUGCAGAAACUUUGGCACUCACGUUUGGUGCUGUGAGUAGUGUUGGCCCAGCCACAUAAAUUAGGAGCUCCGGACCUAUUCCUGGAUUGUCAGCUUUCGGCCAGAAUGAAUUCUUGCAAAAAUAUAGGUGGCCUCCAGUGAAUCUGAAUGACUGUAUUUUGCAUCCAUGGAUCAUUUAUAGACACAGAGGCAGAAAGCUGGGAAAAAAGACCACGAGAGACAUCUGAAUUUCACUGACGCUGGACACCCUACAUCAAUAUCCCGUACAUCUACAGAAUCAACAAAUUCUCCAAAGUGAUCUCUCACAGAAGUAAAGGAGGAAUUGACCCCCAGACAAGGGCUGAACUUCUAGAUGGCAGAAACAAUCACAGUUCUUCAUUUGAGUCCCACGAAUAGAAUUCAGGAGUUCAUGAACUUGGAUGUCAAAAAAAAUUACAUCUUUCCACCGACCUCUCAUGAACCUGGAUGCUUUCCCUGAGGGAUCCUCUCUCCUCACCUUCUCAUGCCCAUGUCCUUGAGUGUCUCAGCCACUUUUGAAGAUCUGUUCCUGAGGAAAUUGAGAAUAUUCCUGGCUUCCACGGGAACAGGCCUCCAUUGUGCGCCACUGCCCUGGGCUGCUUGGCAAGGGUGCUGUCUGCAGCCUCAUGAGAGACCCUCUUGGAGAGUGUGUGAGGACCCUGGGGAGCAGAACUCAGCUCCUCCAAGAAGCAGCCACAAGACAUACCCAGACUCACCCCUACUCUGACCUGGGCUGAGCAUGCACGAGUCAUGGGCCAGCUGCCUUCUGCUCCCCUCUUCUAAGCAUCUAGUGCCACAGAACCAUCCAAGCCUCAUGAACAGGAAAUAAAGGUGCCCAGAGCUUGGCA